GUAGUCUCGCACAGAUGCAUAUCAAUAAGCGGAGGAAAAGAAACUAACAAGGAUUCCCCUAGUAACGGCGAGUGAAGCGGGAAGAGCUCAAAUUUGAAAUCUUAAAGGGUUUCCCUUUACGAAUUGUAGUUUAAAGAAGUGUUUUCUGUUGAGGUUUUGGUAAAAGUUCUUCGGAAUAGGACAUCAUAGAGGGUGAGAAUCCCGUAUUUGACCUUUACUUUCAACUUUGUGAUACACUUUCAAAGAGUCGGAUUGUUUGGGAAUGCAGUCCAAAAUGGGUGGUAAAUUUCAUCUAAAGCUAAAUAUUGGCGAGAGACCGAUAGCGAACAAGUACCGUGAGGGAAAGAUGAAAAGAACUUUGAAAAGAGAGUUAAACAGUACGUGAAAUUGUCAAAAGGGAAGCGUUUGACACCAGUGUUGUUUUUCUGAAAAUCAAUUAAAGAACUGUUUAUGCUAAGUUGUUUAGACUUUAUCAGCUAUCUGUUUAGUUUUGAGCUUUUCUUUAAUGCACUUUUCAGUUAACAAGUCAACAUCAAUUUCUUUUGCUGUAAAAAAGCUUGAGGAAGGUGGCUUGAGAUUCGUCUUAAGUGUUUAUAGCCUCUUGCCUAUGCAGUCGGAGAGAUUGAGGUCUGCAGCGUAGAUCCUUCGGGGCUAAAUGCAUUUGUGCUAAGUUAUAGCAUUUUAUAGACAACUUGUUGACUAUGAUUUGUCUUGUAGCUUACUCGCUUAUGUUAUUUUACCUACGCUUAGGAUGUUGAUGUGAUACUGCGAGC
rnacentral:rRNA from 1 species